CCCAACCCCUCGAUGGCACAAGGUAGAAAAAAAUCACUCGAUCAUGCAAGAAAGAAAUACCCGAAAAACCAGCCCAUGUUUCCAUCCAUCGUCGCUAAAAGAAUACAGAGAGAAUAAACUGCUCGGACAUACACGUCCCACACCAACCUCUUCCCACAACUCGCUCCCGAUCUCAUCUCUCCCCUGCCAAAUAUCGUCGCCGCCAGAGAGAGGAAGGAGCGCAGCGGAGGCACCAAGGAGGAGGGGGUCGCCUCGCUCGCUUUUGCCGCCGACGGUCAUGCCCACCGCCACCCCCACCGCCAUCGCCGCCGCGGCGAGCCCCAAGUCGGGGACACCAGGCGCAGCCACCCCCACCUCACCCGCCGUUGCAGGGAUUGCAAGAGAAGGGCCGCGGGAGCCGGUCGAGGUGGAGUACGUGCCACAGAAGCCCAACCUCGGCGCUGACGACCCUCUCCUCCUCGUUGUCUUCUGUAUCGUCUUUGAAAAAUUCAAUCUCACGGACCACACCGCCGCGACGAGAGCGCCGGUCCAUGUCUUCAGCAGCAACCUCGAAUGGGAGGGACGAGCCACCACACAUGACAUAGGAGGUUAGUGUCUGCGUAUAGAUGACGCCAAGGGCUAACAACGGCAGUGUCAGACUGAUGAGUGACAAGUGCUCCAACGAGCACACCACCAUGAAGUACAUUAAAAAACUUUGCUAGGUUAUGUGUAUGAACUGUCGUGUCAUCGUUAUCGACACACAAUGCGAUAAAGAAGCCACAACACACACCCAUCCAUGAGGAGGUGCUCGCCGGGUCGCUCUCUAGACGCAACAUGAUUGGCGUCGCCUUCACCGUCUCCGGCGAGACGCUCGUAUUCGUGCUUCUCCUCGUCAUGGUGUCGCUGCAGAAGGACAUACCGAUGCCGGCUAAGCCUCACACAAUGUGUGUUCCUUGAUUUAUGUAUAAAUUACAUGCAUUUCUCAAACUCAUUAUUGGAUCUUGUGAUAUUUUAUUCCUUCAUGAUUAUACAUGUAGGAAAUAAAUGGAAAUUACUUAUGGCUGUAGUAAAAAGUAGAUCUAAGUGAGCUUUAGUUUUGUGGGAAGACCUUGGUGGUUUCUUCUUUCUCCUUUUACUUGGUGGCCGCCAGCAAGGAACAUGAAAGCCUAGCCAUUUCAAUUUAGACAAGUUACAUUCGGAUUAUAGGUAUGUUUGACUUCAUCAUAGGAGCUUCGAUCGACUUUUGUGGCUACUAUUUCUGGAGAUGGUGAAUGGAUGGCGAUAUCGACUAAUUCUUUAGCUACUACUAACCUUUGUCAAGUAAAGUGUAGUUGCCAUCAAAAGUUCUUUGAACUUUAACUAGGUAUAUGCAUCUCACCCUUUUCCUCCGUUGCAUUUUUUUGUAUGUAUUGGGUUUGCGUGUUUAUUUUUCAACGGAUCAAGAACAAUCACUAAAACACAAUGAUAAGUUACUCUUGUACCAUCGCAUAUAAACCGUUGAGGCAUUCACAUUGUACACUUCCUGGUUGACAUGCCAAUAUUCUUGUUCUUAUUUACUGACAAUUAUGCCACCCCUAGUGUUUUAUUAGGCUUCAAGAUUUUAUAGGUUAGCGAAGUAUUCAGGAUUCAUGAAGUUUUUCUAUUCAAACAAUACAUGUAUUUGCUUCUGUUGUGUUCUAAGUCAUGUGUUGGUCCUUGACAAUAGUGAAGCCUAUUCUAUAGGGACGACAACAACUUUGAUGACCCUCUCUGUUAUUUUAGAUCUUUGAGGAACUACUUGCAAUCAACUGUGUGAUAACUUCUUGGAGACCAACAAUCAGGCCCUUUUUGCCUAAGAUUUUCAUGCCACAAUUGUAGCUAUGACAUAUUAUAUUAUGAGUGUCAAUGAACCAAUUAACCCCAUAAACUCGUGCUCAAGAUGCCGCAUGUAAUAUAUAUAAAUAUUAUCUUUCUUUUGUUAUAAUUUGGCAGCCAUUUUGAGUGAUUUAUUGUGGAUCAUGUUAUAACGAGUAUAGCACGAAAUUUUAAUGCACUUCAGUUAAAAGGUGUCAUUACAGGUCAGUUUAUGUUACUUUUGUGUGAAGUGUGAUAGUUUCAAGGUUAGUAAUCCUUCCAGUGCUAACUCUUGUACUUAUAAGUCACUGUAAGACACAUAAUGUUUAAUUACCAUCGUUCUCCUUUUGAAUUUUACAGGCUAUUUCUACUUAUUUAAUUGAAGUGCAUGCUGGAUGCAACAAAAAACACCGUGUAGAGUACAUUUACUUAGAUAAUGGUAAUAGUUUGUGGGAUGUGUUGCGUGACUCACAAAGUUCUCCUUUGAAAUCUCCAAAUAAAGCAACCUGGUCUAGCAUUUAUCCAAUUGUUAUAAGAAGAAGGAUCCUGGGAAGAAGGCAGGCAGAACCCGACGCGGAGGAGGGGGCAUCGAAAGUGGGUGCCAAUGGGGAGGAGGCCAUGCUGGAGCCUAGGUUAGCAAACAUUUUCAAUCAUAGGGAGACCUCGUACACAUUUUCACUCAUAGGGCGACCUUGUUGCUACAUGAUUGCGUGGAUGCCGACCACGCUCUAUUCAAUCUGUGUCUUCGUUGACCUCUCUACCUACAAGGUUUCUCAUCACAGGAGAUCUGUUUUUGGCUUGGAUUAUGUGAAAAUGAUUGUGUCGUAAUGCAAUCAUGGUGCCUGUGUAUAUGUUAUUUGAAAUUCUAGCUUAAUCUAA